UCUGCUUGGUUCGUUGUCUUCAGCCCCAACACUGGUGAUAGUGUCGACGGUCAUAAUCUCCCGCUUGGUUUUCUAUCUUCAACCCCAACACUAGUGAUAGUGUCAUCGAUCAUAAUCUCCAUUGGUUCGGCAAACAAAGCAUUAGUUUUUUUUUUUCAUUCUCCUCCUUUGGGCGUGGCUUCUAUUUGUCAACAAACUUGAGUCUG
rnacentral:lncRNA from 1 species